AUACGGAGGAUCCGAGCGUUAUCCGGAUUUACUGGGUUUAAAGGGUGCGUAGGCGGGCGCCUAAGUCAGCGGUGAAAUGCAGCGGCUCAACCGUUGAACUCGCCGUUCGAAACUGGGCGCCUUGGAUGCGGUCGAGGCCGGCGGAAUGCGUGGUGUAGCGGUGAAAUGCUUAGAUAUCACGCAGAACGCCAAUUGCGAAGGCAGCUGGCCGGGCCGCAACCGACGCUGAGGCACGAAAGCGUGGGGAUC
rnacentral:rRNA from 1 species